AGGAACGGCCAUACCACGCCGAUCGCACCACAUCCCGUCCGCUCU
rnacentral:rRNA from 1 species